CCCUUAGAUGUUCUGGGCCGCACGCGCGCUACACUGACGAAGUCAGCGAGCAUGUCCUACGCCGACAGGUGCGGGGAAUCUUGUCAAACUUCGUCGUGAUGGGGAUUGAUUAUUGAAAUUCUUGAUCAUCAACGAGGAAUUCCUAGUAAGCGCAAGUCAGCAGCUUGCGUUGAUUACGUCCCUGCCCUUUGUACACACCGCCCGUCGCUACUACCGAUUGAGUGGUCCGGUGAGGCUUUGGGAUCUGAGCGGAAAGAGCGUUUCGCUGUUUCUGCUCGGAAAACUCAGUCGAACCUUAUCAUUUAGAGGAAGGAGAAGUCGUAACA
rnacentral:rRNA from 1 species